UCCGGUUUGACACCGGCAGUCUCCCUAGAGUGCCCGGCAUGACCCGCUGGUAACUAGGGACGAGGGUUGCGCUCGUUGCGGGACUUAACCCAACAUCUCACGACACGAGCUGACGACAGCCAUGCAGCACCUGUGUAAGCUCCCCUUGCGGGGUCGUUGCCCUUUCAGGCUCCUACCACCUACAUUUCAAGCCCUGGUAAGGUUCUUCGCGUUGCGUCGAAUUAAGCCACAUACUCCACCGCUUGUGCAGGCCCCCGUCAAUUUCUUUGAGUUUUAAUCUUGCGACCGUACUUCCCAGGCGGCUUGCUUAUCGCGUUAGCUUCGCCACAAAAGGGGUCGAUUCCUUUUACAGCAAGCAAGCACCGUUUACGGCUAGGACUAC
rnacentral:misc_RNA from 1 species